rnacentral:rRNA from 1 species
GACGAACGCUGGCGGCGUGCCUAAUACAUGCAAGUAGAACGCUGAAGGAGGAGCUUGCUUCUCUGGAUGAGUUGCGAACGGGUGAGUAACGCGUAGGUAACCUGCCUGGUAGCGGGGGAUAACUAUUGGAAACGAUAGCUAAUACCGCAUAAUAGUAGAUGUUGCAUGACAUUUGCUUAAAAGGUGCAAUUGCAUCACUACCAGAUGGACCUGCGUUGUAUUAGCUAGUUGGUGAGGUAACGGCUCACCAAAGCAAAGAUACAUAGCCGACCUGAGAGGGUGGUCGGCCACACUGGGACUGAGACACGGCCCAGACUCCUACGGGAGGCAGCAGUAGGGAAUCUUCGGCAAUGGACGGAAGUCUGACCGAGCAACGCCGCGUGAGUGAAGAAGGUUUUCGGAUCGUAAAGCUCUGUUGUAAGAGAAGAACGAGUGUGAGAGUGGAAAGUUCACACUGUGACGGUAUCUUACCAGAAAGGGACGGCUAACUACGUG